rnacentral:rRNA from 1 species
CACGUAGGGCGCAAGCGUUGUCCGGAAUUAUUGGGCGUAAAGAGCUCGUAGGCGGACUGUCACGUCUGCUGUGAAAAGCUGGGGCUUAACCCUGGCCUUGCAGUGGAUACGGGCAGACUAGAGGUAGGUAGGGGAGAAUGGAAUUCCCGGUGUAGCGGUGAAAUGCGCAGAUAUCGGGAGGAACACCAAUAGCGAAGGCAGCUCGCUGGGACGGUACUGACGCUAAGGCGCGAAAGCGUGGGGAGCGAACAGG